rnacentral:misc_RNA from 1 species
GAUGAAGAACGCAGCGAAAUGCGAUAAGUAAUGUGAAUUGCAGAAUUCAGUGAAUCAUCGAAUCUUCGAACGCACAUUGCGCCCGCCAGUAUUCUGGCGGGCAUGCCUGUUCGAGCGUCAUUACAACCCUCAGGCCCCCGGGCCUGGCGUUGGGGAUCGGCGGAGCCCCCCGUGGGCACACGCCGUCCCCCAAAUGCAGUGGCGGUCCCGCCGCAGCUUCCAUCGCGUAGUAGCUAACACCUCGCGACUGGAGAGCGGCGCGGCCACGCCGUAAAACACCCAACUCUUCUGAAGUUGACCUCGAAUCAGGUAGGAUUACCCGCUGAACUUAAGCAUAUCAAUAAGCGGAGGA